rnacentral:rRNA from 1 species
GAGUUUGAUCUUGGCUCAGGAUGAACGCUGGCGGCGUGCUUAACACAUGCAAGUCGAACGAUGAUCCCAGCUUGCUGGGGGAUUAGUGGCGAACGGGUGAGUAACACGUGAGUAACCUGCCCUUGACUCUGGGAUAAGCCUGGGAAACUGGGUCUAAUACCGGAUAUGACCUUCCAUCGCAUGGUGGUUGGUGGAAAGCUUUUGUGGUUUUGGAUGGACUCGCGGCCUAUCAGCUUGUUGGUGAGGUAAUGGCUUACCAAGGCGACGACGGGUAGCCGGCCUGAGAGGGUGACCGGCCACACUGGGACUGAGACACGGCCCAGACUCCUACGGGAGGCAGCAGUGGGGAAUAUUGCACAAUGGGCGCAAGCCUGAUGCAGCGACGCCGCGUGAGGGAUGACGGCCUC